UACGUAGGGUGCAAGCGUUAUCCGGAAUUAUUGGGCGUGAAGAGCUCGUAGGCGGUUUGUCGCGUCUGCUGUGAAAACUGGGGGCUCAACCCCCAGCCUGCAGUGGGUACAGGCAGACUAGAGUGCGGUAGGGGAGAUUGGAAUUCCUGGUGUAGCGGUGGAAUGCGCAGAUAUCAGGAGGAACACCAGUAGCGAAGGCGGGUCUCUGGGCAGUAACUGACGCUGAGGAGCGAAAGCGUGGGGAGCGAACAGG
rnacentral:rRNA from 1 species